rnacentral:rRNA from 1 species
GUGUCAGCCGCCGCGGUAAUACGGAGGGUGCGAGCGUUAUUCGGAAUCAUUGGGUGUAAAGGGCGUGUAGGCGGCCUGAUAAGUCAGACGUGAAAGCUCCGGGCUCAACCCGGAAAGUGCGUUUGAAACUGUCAGGCUUGAGUACGGGAGAGGAAGGCGGAAUUCCCAGUGUAGAGGUGAAAUUCGUAGAUAUUGGGAGGAACACCGGUGGCGAAGGCGGCCUUCUGGACCGAUACUGACGCUGAGACGCGAAAGCGUGGGGAGCAAACAGGAUUAGAUACCCUGGUAGUCCACGCCGUAAACGAUGGGCACUAGGUGUAGGGGGUAUUGACCCCCCCUGUGCCGUAGCUAACGCAUUAAGUGCCCCACCUGGGGAGUACGGCCGCAAGGUUAAAACUUAAAUGAAUUGACGGGG